GACGAACGCUGGCGGCGUGCUUAACACAUGCAAGUCGAACGGAAAGGCCCUGCGUUUGUGGGGUGCUCGAGUGGCGAACGGGUGAGUAACACGUGAGUAACCUGCCCUUGACUUUGGGAUAACUUCAGGAAACUGGGGCUAAUACCGGAUAGGAGCUCCUGCUGCACGGGGGGGGUUGGAAAGUGUCGGCGGUUUGGGAUGGACUCGCGGCUUAUCAGCUUGUUGGUGGGGUAGUGGCUUACCAAGGCUUUGACGGGUAGCCGGCCUGAGAGGGUGACCGGCCACAUUGGGACUGCGAUACGGCCCAGACUCCUACGGGCGGCAGCGGUGGGGAAUAUUGCACAAUGGGCGGAAGCCUGAUGCAGCAGCGCCGCGUGCGGGAUGACGGCCUUCGGGUUGUAAACCGCUGUCGCCUGUGACGAAGCGUGAGUGACGGUAAUGGGUAAAGAAGCACCGGCUAACUACGUG
rnacentral:rRNA from 1 species